CUUCACCGCGCCGACCAGAAGCGGACGGCCCUCGGCCCGCUCCUGCCCGUAUGUCGCGAGCAGCGCCUGUGCCUC
rnacentral:antisense_RNA from 1 species